rnacentral:tRNA from 1 species
GGCCUGUUGGUCAAGUGGUUAAGACGUGGCCCUCUCACGGCUAAAACAGGGGUUCAACUCCCCUACAGGUCA